GACGAACGCUGGCGGCGUGCUUAACACAUGCAAGUCGAACGAAGUGGCGAACGGGUGAGUAACGCGUAAUCAACCUGCCCUUCAGAGGGGGACAACAGUUGGAAACGACUGCUAAUACCGCAUACUGAAGGAGGGGAUUGCGUCUGAUUAGCUAGUGGGAGGGGUAACGGCCCACCAAGGCGAUGAUCAGUAGCCGGUCUGAGGGGAUGAACGGCAACAUUGGGACUGAGAAACGGCCCAGACUCCUACGGGAGGCAGCAAUGGGGAAACUUCCGAAAAGGAGGAAAGUCUGGCGGAACAACGCCGCGGGGGUGAUGACGGCCUUCGGGUUGUAAAACUCUGUUAAUCGGGGCGCGGUACCGGAAUAGAAAGCCACGGCUAACUACGUGCCAGCAGCCGCGGUAAUAC
rnacentral:rRNA from 1 species